rnacentral:rRNA from 1 species
UUAAAUUGAGAGUUUGAUCCUGGCUCAGGACGAACGCUGGCGGCGUGCCUAACACAUGCAAGUCGAGCGAUGAAACUUCCUUCGGGGAGUGGAUUAGCGGCGGACGGGUGAGUAACACGUGGGUAACCUGCCUCAAAGAGGGGGAUAGCCUCCCGAAAGGGAGAUUAAUACCGCAUAACAUUAUUUUAUGGCAUCAUAAAAUAAUCAAAGGAGCAAUCCGCUUUGAGAUGGACCCGCGGCGCAUUAGCUAGUUGGUGAGGUAAGGGCUCACCAAGGCGACGAUGCGUAGCCGACCUGAGAGGGUGAUCGGCCACAUUGGAACUGAGACACGGUCCAGACUCCUACGGGAGGCAGCAGUGGGGAAU